AACACAAACAAUGGCCAUCGCAAGCGAAAGUGAUGGUAAAAAACACUUGAUGUCCUUUCCUCCAGAACGAAUUGGGCAUGUAGCAGUUUGUAAUGAUAAAUACAUGAUCGUGUGGGGAGGUUACAAUGAUGACUUUAAUCCACCUUACACUGAAAAGUAUCUUCCAGCAAAUGAGAUUUGGAUUUACGACACAGAAUUUAAAGUUUGGUAUUUUGAAAGACAUAAUGUUCAUCCUGUAGCAACCUCUGGUUCCACGGUGUGUGUUGGGGAUGGCUACAUGUACUUGUUUGGUGGCCAUGCACGGCUUGGUAAUGUCAAUAACCUAUACCGACUGGAUCUGAACAACUUAGAAUGGGAGAAAAUUGUACCUCAGAGUGAGAAUGCAAAUGAGCUGCCAAGUCCGAGAGACAAAGCAGUAUCAUGGUAUCAUCAUAGAAAGUUAGUAUGGAAUCUUACCCAUGUACGAGUUUGUCAUUUCUAAAUCAAACGAGAACAGUAAAUGUUGUUAUAAAUUGAUCACACAAUCUUUUUAUUUAAAAAAUUACUGAUGUCAUUUUCUGAUUUUAAUUUCAUACCAUAUACCUGAAUUAAAAUAGUCAAUAAAUGAGUUUAGUGCAUUUUAUUCCAUUUCAUGAAUUUAAAAAAAUUAUUUAUGUUUCAGAUUUUAUACAUUUGGAGGUUUUGGAGUGCAUUUGAAAGGAUACAUUGGUGAUACCAAGUCAUUUUUUCAAGAUGAAAUUCCAGAGAAUAGAGGAUGGAACAACCAGCUGUGUGUUUUUGACUUUACCACAAUGCAGUGGAGUGUACCGGAUACUAUGGGUCCAACUCCAUCUGCCCGGGCUGCACAUACAGCAGUGAGGUUUGACAGUAAGGUGUACAUCUUUGGAGGAAGGCAUUCAAAUAUCCGGUUAAAUGACGUCCAUUGUCUGGAUCUGAAUUCUCUGGCCUGGAGUGGCAGUAUAUGUACUCACGGACCCCAGCCUGAGGGUAGAUCCUGGCACACAGCCACAGCCCUGCCCUACAACAGAAUGUUUGUCUAUGGAGGAUUCACUACUGGUUGCCAGCCCUUAAGUGAUUCCUGGAUUUUGGACACAAACACUCUCAAUUGGACCCAGCUGACCCAUUUCCCGGCUGACCGUAGUCGUCUGUGGCACACGGCGUGCGUAACCCAAGAUCAGGACGUGUUGAUAUAUGGAGGGUGUGAAAAGAACAUACUAGACUAUGACAAUAUAUGUGAAAUUAAAAGUGACAUUUUAGAAUUCCAGUUUGAACCAUAUUCAUUAAAAAAACUGAGCAGAGACUGUGUAUAUAGAUUCCGUGUACGGUUAGGCAGUGAGUGGGAGUCGCUUCCCCGCCCAAUAUUUGAUUGGCUGAAUAAGAAAGAGGAUCUUGACCUUCGGUUACUAUUAUGGACAGGUUAUCAGUCAGAUGAUGACAGUGAUGAUGAUGAUGAUAAUUUUGGAGGAUGGCCUACUAUACCACCAGACGCCAUACAGGAUUAAUAGUUUUUUCAAAUUAUGAUCCAUAUUUUUAUGAAUUAUACACCACAUUUACAUGCAUCAAUACUGGACUUUUUUCGCAUUUUGCGUAGAAGAUUGAGAUGUUAUAUUGUACUAUUUUUUAGAUCAUUUGAUCCUAGCUCGUUGGUACGUGCAGCAUUACUAUUAUAUAUAUGAAUUUUUUGUAGGAUUUUUCCUUCAAAUUAUGUUUUUAACAAGCCUUUAUACAUUGCAUUAUAUACUUUAUAUAUAAUACAUACUCAUACAAGUAAAUGUGGAAUAAAUGCCAUCCCAAUUUU
rnacentral:misc_RNA from 1 species